GCUAUUUUUCCUGUGUAUUCACUUCUCCAACAUCUGCCCAUCCUGUGAGUGUAUAAAAUAAUCCAAUCAUUUCUGCUGCUAAAAUAUUAUCAUCUGGUCAAAUUGUGCUUGUCUCAUUCCCUCACUGUCAACAGGAAGCUGGACAGUUUGUGAGCUGAAAACUGAUGCUACAGAAGCUGUAUUUCCUAGGUGACAAGUGGAGAGUCUCAUCACCUGUGGAGCCAGCAGCUGGGACAAGAUUAAUUAGUGAAGCUGAGAAGGUAGUUGUGCCUGAACCUGCAAGACAAAAAGAAAAAAAUAUCCUCA